AACGAACGCUGGCGGCAGGCCUAACACAUGCAAGUCGAGCGAGGACUUCGGUCCUAGCGGCGGACGGGUGAGUAACGCGUGGGAACGUGCCCUUUGCUUCGGAAUAGCCCUGGGAAACUGGGAGUAAUACCGGAUGAGCCCUUUGGGGGAAAGAUUUAUCGGCGAAGGAUCGGCCCGCGUUGGAUUAGGUAGUUGGUGGGGUAAUGGCCUACCACGCCGACGAUCCAUAGCUGGUUUGAGAGGAUGAGCAGCCACACUUGGACUGAGAACCGGCCCAGACUCCUACGGGAGGCAGGAGUGGGGGACGGUAGACAACGGGGGGAACGCUGAUCGAGCCAUGCCGGGUGAGCGAUGAAGGCCUUAGGGUUGUAAAGCUCUUUCAGCUGGGAAGAUAAUGACGGUACCAGCAGAAGAAGCCCCGGCUAACUCCGUG
rnacentral:rRNA from 1 species